rnacentral:lncRNA from 1 species
CUUAAAGGACCACUAUAGUGCCAGGAAAACAUACUCGUUUUCCUGGCACUAUAGUGCCCUGAGGGUGCCCCCACCCUCAGGGUCCCCCUCCCGCCCGGCUCUGGAAGGAGGAAAGGGGUAAAAACUUACCUUUUUCCAGCGCUGGGCGGGGAGCUCUCCUCCUUCUCUCCUCCUCCGUUCCUCCCUGCCGGCUGAAUGCGCACGCGCGGCAAGAGCUGCGCGCGCAUUCAGCCGGUCGCAUAGGAAAGCAUUUACAAUGCUUUCCUAUGGACGCUGGCGUGCUCUCACUGUGAAAAUCACAGUGAGAAGCACGCAAGCGCCUCUAGUGGCUGUCAAUGAGACAGCCACUAGAGG